ACAAGAAACAAAUCAUUGCUUUCAUGCUGAGCUCAUGAAUCCUGCUCUCUGAUGUGAAUGGGUGGAGCUGGCGGUCCAGUUUUAAAGCCAUUUCUAAAGAAGCAGUUUUCUCCUCUUCCAGAAAUGCUUGUCCUGAUGUUUGUCUUCCCACCUGGAGAACCAGGGAAACAUAACAGUUCCUCAGGAUGUCAGUGAAGCUAAAGCGGAUGCUAAAGAAGAAAGCAGGAGAGGAAAAGUCUGGGACAAAUCAAAAGAUUCAUUAUGUGGCAAAAUGCACCAUAAAACUGAACUUGUUGCUGAAGGGGCAAAAAAGAAAGCUUGUUUGUUUAAAGAUGCUUGUUUGGAGAGCUGGAAUAUUAAGGAGUAACUGGAACAUAUUCAGAGAGGCCUGGGAUAUUGGGGCUGCUAAAAGGCUUCCAUGAUACAUGUGAUCUAUAGGCUACAUCAUUCCAUCCCUGAUUUAAUUCAGCAUCCUGAUUUCCAGUGUGGCCAAACAACUGCUUAUGAAAGGACCUCGAGCAGGAUCUCAGUGCAUAGAAAGAAGAGAUGAACGUGAUGCAUAUCUUAAAAUAAGGUCUUUGCUGCCGAUUGAAAUCCUUUUUGCAGGCAGCUUCUAAUAUAGUCAUCAGACAAGAAGGCAGUUCUUGAAAGGAGUGUCCUGUUUUAAAAUGAAAGUGGCAAAUAAAUAAUAUAUAUUUCAAUGAUGACCCUAUGAUUGUUGUGUCAAAUAUACCUCCAUUAACCUCCCAGUACUGUAGGGCCGAUGUCGCUUUGGAAGAAUAGUGCAUGUUAUGAAAGAUAACGAAGUGGCCACCACAAAAUUUCAUCCCUGUGUUGUGCCAU